rnacentral:tmRNA from 1 species
GGGGCCGUUAUGGAUUCGACAGGCGGUGUUUGAUCCGGGAUUGCGCUUCGAAGGUUACGUCUUCGUUAAAACGUUACAGUUAAAUAUAACUGCUAAAAAACAAAACUUUUCUUACGCUUUAGCUGCCUAAAAACAGUUAGCGUAGAUCCUUCCGGCAUCGCCCAUGUGCUCGGGUAAGGGUCUCAAAUUUAGUGGGAUACGUUUUAACUUUCCGUCUGCAAGUUAAAAAAGAGAUCAUCAGACUAGCAAAACAGAAUGCCUGUCACUCGGCAAGCUGGUGCGCGAAUCCUUAAAUGAGUUGACUAUGAGCGUAGAUAUCUCGGCGGCAAGCCGUUUGGACAGGGGUUCAAAUCCCCUCGGCUCCAUUU